rnacentral:rRNA from 1 species
UACGUAGGGUCCGAGCGUUGUCCGGAAUUACUGGGCGUAAAGAGCUCGUAGGUGGUUUGUCGCGUUGUUCGUGAAAACUCACAGCUCAACUGUGGGCGUGCGGGCGAUACUGCCGUGCUUGAGGACUGGAGAGGAGACUGGAAUUUACGGUGUAGCGGUGAAAUGCGUAGAUAUCGUAAGGAAGACCAGUGGCGAAGGCGGGUCUCUGGACAGUUCCUGACGCUGAGGCACGAAGGCCAGGGGAGCAAACGGG